rnacentral:rRNA from 1 species
UACGUAGGGGGCUAGCGUUGUCCGGAAUCAUUGGGCGUAAAGAGCGUGUAGGCGGCCCGGUAAGUCCGCUGUAAAAGUCAAAGGCUCAACCUUUGAAUGUCAGUGGAUACUGCCGGGCUAGAGUCCGGAAGAGGCGAGUGGAACUCCUGGUGUAGCGGUGGAAUGCGCAGAUAUCAGGAAGAACACCGACGGCGAAGGCAGCUCGCUGGGACGGUACUGACGCGUGAGGCGACGAAAGGCGUGGGGGAGCAAACAACGG